rnacentral:rRNA from 1 species
GGCCAUACCACCCUGAACGCGCCUGAUCUCGUCUGAUCUCGGAAGCUAAGCAGGGUCGGGCCUGGUUAGUACUUGGAUGGGAAAAUGACAAAUCAGACUUUUUCUAAAGUGAAUCAGGAAAAAAAAGUCU